AAAACAAUAGCUUUUUAGGAUAUAACUCAUAAGCCAUAUACAUCACCUACUUAAAGUACAAUUUACUGACUUUUAUUAUAUUCAGAGUUGUGUAGCCAUUGAUUGCCACAAUCAAUUUAUAAGUAUUUUCAUCACCCUAAGAGGAUAUCCUAUCCCCAUUAGAAGUCAUUCCCCUUCUCUUAGCCCUGGGCAGCAGCUAAUCUAUUUUUUGUCUCUACAGAUUUAUCUUUUCUAGAGAUUUCACAUAAAUAUAACUAUACAAUAUAUGAUCUUUGUGACUGACUUUUCUGUAACCUCCGAUUUCAAGGUUCUUCUAUGUAGUUUUCAAGUCAGUCCAACCAGUAGUGGCUAAAUGGGCAUCACUGUGCAGAGGUGGGCUCCAGUGUGCCCUGUGACCUUUCCCAGGAUGUACUCUGGCUGGUGGCUAUGUGAACAAGGAUGAAAUGGGAUGAUCAGUUUGGUUAAUUUUCAGCUCACACCAAACUGAACCUUUAGGUUGGCUGCAUGGAGACUGCAGAUAAGCCUGUUGAAGACAACAGAUCACAUGGAAACCAAAAUGUCAAUCAAUGUUGAUCCUCCAUCACUUCCCGGCCUGUUAUCUGAACGCUGUCCUAAGAUCACCUGCAGAUGAAGGAUAAAGACAGCUGCACUGAAGUCCUGGAGUUAGGAUAGGUGUGAAGGUUCUUGCUCAUCUUCAGUAAGAGCUGCUUCAUUCUGCUCCUCGCUCACUUCAUUGGCUCGUUCUUCAUAAAUAGGCUCACCGAGGUCUUCACUGCCUCCUUCACUUUGCUCUUCGCUGUGUUCUUCGCUGGGUUCCACAGUCUGUUCCAGGCUAUUUUCCAGAAGUGUGGGAGAAUUGCUUAUUCUACUUUCUUCUUCAACUGUCUCAUUUAAGGACUGGGAAGGAGGUGGUGUGGGAGUAUCAGAUUGCAUGACACUUUCAGUGGAAGAGAUGGGGACUUUGGUUAGAGUAGUAUCUGCUACCACCUCAUUUUGAGGCAAAGAUAACUUCUCCACAAGUUUCCACUGAAUGAUGCUCAUGUCUUUUCCACCGGUUGAAAUCAGGUGACUGUCAUUAUGAGUAAAGCUGACAUUGGUGACGUGGCUGCUGUGGGCACUGUAUUUGUGACUGGGAGCCUAUCGCAAAUAAAUCAGAUAGGAAAAUUAAACUUUACAUGCCAGCUUACAGCAAUGGAGGUGACCAGGUAAGGCAGGUAAAUCAGCAUAUGAAACAGGUAAUUCAAAUCAAAGCCAAAGUCAUCAAAUCUGAGGAAUUAAGCUAGUAGCAAUUUCCUUUUAAUGUCUAUUGUUGGGAGAAACAAAACAAGAGUAAUUGGAUUCUUAUACUUUUUUAGACUAUGUUUAAAAAACAACUAAAAGUUGUUUUUCUGUCUUCUGUUUUGUAUACUUGUCAGAACCUAGCAGCUUCUAUUGAAAUGACAGAGAGAGAACUUACUAGGUUGGCAGGAUUAUAGAGGAUUUAGAAAAAAGUUCCCUGAGUUUUAUAAUGCUGGUCAUAUUUUAGUAUGUUUUGUAUGUUUAUAUUUUAAAGUUUAUGAGAAAUUUAAAAUUGCCCAAAAAAAUCAAAAUAAAAAAACCGAACAAUAUGAAUACAGUAACUGCCCUCUAUAUUUUUCCCUUAGGCUGAAAGAGGAAGGAAAAGACAGGUGUGAUUCCUGCUGGGAUGCUAAGAGAGGGUCCGAGAGGGUCCUGUGCUGCUUCUGCACAUUCUAGUACCAUUCCCGAGCUGUCCUGUACCAUGGACAGCUAAUUAGUAACUGUAAAUAUUUUUUCACCAGUGGGCCUCCCCGGUGGUGCAGCGGUUGAGCGCUGGGCUGUGAAGCUGCC